rnacentral:tRNA from 1 species
UGCAUCAGCAGGGAAUCGAACCUGGGCCGCCCGCGUGGCAGGCGAGCAUUCUACCACUGAACCACCGAUGG